AGUGAACGCUGGCGGUAGGCCUAACACAUGCAAGUCGAACGGCAGCACAGUAAGAGUUGCUCUUACGGGUGGCGAGUGGCGGACGGGUGAGGAAUACAUCGGAAUCUACUUUUUCGUGGGGGAUAACGUAGGGAAACUUACGCUAAUACCGCAUACGACCUACGGGUGAAAGCAGGGGAUCUUCGGACCUUGCGCGAUUGAAUGAGCCGAUGUCGGAUUAGCUAGUUGGCGGGGUAAAGGCCCACCAAGGCGACGAUCCGUAGCUGGUCUGAGAGGAUGAUCAGCCACACUGGAACUGAGACACGGUCCAGACUCCUACGGGAGGCAGCAGUGGGGAAUAUUGGACAAUGGGCGCAAGCCUGAUCCAGCCAUACCGCGUGGGUGAAGAAGGCCUUCGGGUUGUAAAGCCCUUUUGUUGGGAAAGAAAAGCAGCAGGUUAAUACCCCGCUGUUCUGACGGUACCCAAAGAAUAAGCACCGGCUAACUUCGUG
rnacentral:rRNA from 1 species